rnacentral:rRNA from 1 species
UACAGAGGUCCCAAGCGUUACUGAGAAUCACUGGGUUUAAAGGGUGCGUAGGUGGUCCGUUAAGUCAGUUGUGAAAUCCCCGGGCUCAACCCGGGAACUGCUUCUGAUACUGGCGGACUUGAGGCCAGUAGGGGUCACUAGAACUGACGGUGGAGCGGUGAAAUGCGUAGAUAUCGUCAGGAAUGCCGGUGGUGAAGACGGGUGACUGGGCUGGUUCUGACACUGAGGCACGAAAGCCAGGGGAGCAAACGGG